AUGACCAAGCAGGAGAUCAAUGCUCUGUGUUACCAGCUCAAGGUCUACCUGGGUCACGGCCUGGACAAGUGCGGUGUCCAGUGUGAGGUGCAGCUGGUGGAUUCUGGGCAAGGCUUGGUACAGCCUGGAAAGUCCCUGAAACUCUCCUGUGCAGCCUCUGGAUUCAUCUUCAGCGACUAUAGUAUGGACUGUGUCUGCAAAGCUCCAGAGAACGGACUGGAGUGCAUCACUUACCAUCUACUAUGCCAACACUGUGAAGGGCUGAUUCACCGUCUCCAGAGACAAGAACACCCUGUACCACAAAUGAGCAGUCUGAGGUUUGAGGAUACAGCCAUACAUUAA